rnacentral:rRNA from 1 species
GAUGAACGCUAGCUACAGGCUUAACACAUGCAAGUCGAGGGGCAGCGGUAUCGAAAGCUUGCUUUCGGUAGCCGGCGACCGGCGCACGGGUGAGUAACGCGUAUCGAACCUGCCUCAUACUCGGGAAUAGCCUUGCGAAAGUAAGAUUAAUGCCCGGUGUUUUCAGAGUCCCGCAUGAGGCUUUGAACAAAGAUUUAUCGGUAUGAGAUGGCGAUGCGUCCCAUUAGCUUGUUGGCGGGGUAACGGCCCACCAAGGCAUCGAUGGGUAGGGGUUCUGAGAGGAAGGUCCCCCACAUUGGAACUGAGACACGGUCCAAACUUCUACGGGAGGCAGCAGUGAGGAAUAUUGGUCAAUGGGCGGAAGCCUGAACCAGCCAAGUAGCGUGCAGGAAGACGGCCCUCCGGGUUGUAAACUGCUUUUAGUUGGGAAUAAAACGGGGCUCGUGAGCCCCCUUGCAUGUACCAUCAGAAAAAGGACCGGCUAAUUCCGUG